rnacentral:rRNA from 1 species
CGAAGCCUGACGGAGCAAUACCGCGUGAGGGAAGAAGGCUUUUGGGUUGUAAACCUCUUUUGUCAGGGAAGAAGAAUUGACGGUACCUGAAGAAAAAGCAUCGGCUAACUCCGUGCCAGCAGCCGCGGUAAUACGGAGGAUGCAAGCGUUAUCCGGAAUUAUUGGGCGUAAAGGGUCCGCAGGUGGCGAAUAAAGUCUGCUGUUAAAGACCGGGGCUAAACUCCGGAAAGGCAGUGGAAACUGAUUAGCUAGAGUACGGUAGGGGUAGAGGGAGUUCCCAGUGUAGCGGUGAAAUGCGUAGAUAUUGGGAAGAACACCGGUGGCGAAAGCGCUCUACUAGGCCGAAACUGACACUGAGGGACGAAGGCUAGGGUAGCGAAAGGGAUUAGAUACCCCUGUAGUCUUAGCCGUAAACGAUGGAUACUAGGCGUAGCUUGUAUCGACCCGAGCUGUGCCGAAGCUAACGCGAUAAGUAUCCCGCCUGGGGAGUACGCACGCAAGUGUAAAACUCAAAGGAAUUGACGGGGGCCCGCACAAGCGGUGGAGUAUGUGGUUUAAUUCGAUGCAACGCGAAGAACCUUACCAGGGCUUGACAUGUCGCGAAUCUGGCGGAAACGUUAGAGUGCCUUAGGGAACGCGAACACAGGUGGUGCAUGGCUGUCGUCAGCUCGUGUCGCGAGAUGUUGGGUUAAGUCCCGCAACGAGCGCAACCCUCGUCCUUAGUUGCCAAUAUUAAGUUAGGCACUCUAGGGAGACUGCCGGGGACAACUCGGAGGAAGGUGGGGAUGACGUCAAGUCAGCAUGCCCCUUACGUCCUGGGCGACACACGUACUACAAUGGUUGGGACAAAGGGCAGCAAGCUCGCGAGAGUAAGCGAAUCUCAUCAAACCCAGCCACAGUUCAGAUUGCAGGCUGCAACUCGCCUGCAUGAAGUAGGAAUCGCUAGUAAUCGCAGGUCAGCAUACUGCGGUGAAUUCGUUCCCGGGCCUUGUACACACCGCCCGUCACACCAUGGAAGCUGGCUACGCCCGAAGUCGUUACCCUGACCCGGUUUUGGGAGGGGGAUGCCGAAGGUAGAGCUAGUGACUGGGGUGAAGUCGUAACAAGGUAGCCGUACCGGAAGGUGUGGCUGGAUCACCUCCUUU